rnacentral:lncRNA from 1 species
CCUCAGUGGGGCCAAAAGAAGUGAGUGAAUACAUGCACCCGUGAAGAUUAGAAAUGGGGGAGGUUGAUAACCUUUUGUCAGUGGGGGAUAGAACAGCAAGAAUAAAGACAAAGAAGCUGAUCCUGGUGAAAUCAGUUCCAUCACGGAGUCAACUUCCUGGAGGACCUGCAUUAACACUAUUGGAAGCAAAAGUGGUCAGACAGGUACUUACAGAUAUGAGAAAAUUGCCAUUCUAACAAUUACAAUGAGCUCAAAUGUCUCCAGUCUCAGAAUGAAACCAGAUGUAAUUCACAGGUAAGUUUUUUUUAUUAGACUACUUAAAAAUGAACUGUUUCUCCCCCCUCCCCCCAACACUUCCCC